rnacentral:rRNA from 1 species
CGUUUAGGGGUAAACCUGAGAAACCCGAAAGGUCGAAGGGAGAAAUUCAUUCGCGUUUCGACGGAGGCGUGGGACGGGGUCGAGCGACGGGACGCGUUCUUCGGAACGGGUCUCGCGCCCUCCGUCCUUCGAACCGACGGCGAACGCGUGCACUUUUCUCCUGGUAGGACGUCGCGAUCCGUCGGGCGUCGGUCUACGGCUCGCGGCGGAGCCCGUCCGUCUCGUCUCUCGUACGUGCGGACGGACCCGCGAGAUUUCCCGGCCGACUCGCUCGACGGUAUACCGUAAGGUCGGAGGCCGCUCGUUUUUUUAGGAGCGUUCGACUCGUCGCAAGCGCGCCACGUGCGUCGGCACGCGGACCCGGUGCCGCGUCCGACCUCUGGCGACUGUUGGCGACGAAGUUCUCGGACAGACCUCUUUUUUUUCGAAGACCGAUCGGCGACGCUAUAGCUUUGGGUACUUUCAGGACCCGUCUUGAAACACGGACCAAGGAGUCUAGCAUGUGCGCGAGUCAUUGGGAUUUACGCGAAACCUAAAGGCGUAAUGAAAGUGAAGGUCUUCCUCGCGAAGACCGAGGGAAGACGGACGGUUUUUGUUGUUCAAACCGCCGUCCCGCAUUCCCGGGGCGUCUCGUUCACAUCGCGUGAAGAGGCGCACCAAGAGCGUACACGCUGGGACCCGAAAGAUGGUGAACUAUGCCUGGU